rnacentral:rRNA from 1 species
GAGUUUGAUCCUGGCUCAGAUUGAACGCUGGCGGCAGGCCUAACACAUGCAAGUCGAGCGGUAGAGAGAAGCUUGCUUCUCUUGAGAGCGGCGGACGGGUGAGUAAUGCCUAGGAAUCUGCCUGGUAGUGGGGGAUAACGCUCGGAAACGGACGCUAAUACCGCAUACGUCCUACGGGAGAAAGCAGGGGACCUUCGGGCCUUGCGCUAUCAGAUGAGCCUAGGUCGGAUUAGCUAGUUGGUGAGGUAAUGGCUCACCAAGGCGACGAUCCGUAACUGGUCUGAGAGGAUGAUCAGUCACACUGGAACUGAGACACGGUCCAGACUCCUACGGGAGGCAGCAGUGGGGAAUAUUGGACAAUGGGCGAAAGCCUGAUCCAGCCAUGCCGCGUGUGUGAAGAAGGUCUUCGGAUUGUAAAGCACUUUAAGUUGGGAGGAAGGGCAGUAAUUAAUACUUUGCUGUUUUGACGUUACCGACAGAAUAAGCACCGGCUAACUCUGUGCCAGCA